rnacentral:rRNA from 1 species
UACGUAGGGUGCAAGCGUUAAUCGGAAUUACUGGGCGUAAAGCGUGCGCAGGCGGUUUCGUAAGUCUGUCGUGAAAGCCCCGGGCUCAACCUGGGAAUUGCGAUGGAGGCUGCGAGGCUAGAGUGUGUCAGAGGGGGUAGAAUUCCACGUGUAGCAGUGAAAUGCGUAGAUAUGUGGAGGAACACCGAUGGCGAAGGCAGCCCCCUGGGAUAACACUGACGCUCAUGCACGAAAGGCGUGGGGAGCAA